UUGCAGCCAGUCAAGCUGACCGUGCUGUUUUCCCCGCUUCCCCCGGGGGCCUGGUGUGCAGUGGCUGCAAACAGCGCCCUCCCCGAUAGUGUGUGCAGCAUGUUGCCCUAAGGGGCCUUGGAGAUAGCC
ensembl:snoRNA SNORA70 Small nucleolar RNA SNORA70